rnacentral:rRNA from 1 species
GAUGAACGCUGGCGGCGUGCCUAAUACAUGCAAGUCGAGCGAACAGACGAGGAGCUUGCUCCUUCGACGUUAGCGGCGGACGGGUGAGUAACACGUAGGUAACCUACCUAUAAGACUGGGAUAACUUCGGGAAACCGGAGCUAAUACCGGAUAAUAUUUCGAACCGCAUGGUUCGAUAGUGAAAGAUGGCUUUGCUAUCACUUAUAGAUGGACCUGCGCCGUAUUAGCUAGUUGGUAAGGUAACGGCUUACCAAGGCAACGAUACGUAGCCGACCUGAGAGGGGGAUAGGCCCCACUGGAACUGAGACACGGUCCAGACUCCUACGGGAGGAAGCAGUAGGGAAUCUUCCGAAAUGGGCGAAAGCCUGACGGAGCAACGCCGCGUGAGUGAUGAAGGUAUUCGGAUCGUAAAACUCUGUUAUUAGGGGAGAACAAACGUGUAAGUAACUGUGCACGUCUUGACGGUACCUAAUCAGAAAGCCACGGCUAACUACGUG